AUUGAACGCUGGCGGCAUGCUUUACACAUGCAAGUCGAACGGCAGCACGAGUGCUUGCACUUGGUGGCGAGUGGCGGACGGGUGAGUAAUACAUCGGAACGUAUCCUUAAGUGGGGGAUAACGCAUCGAAAGAUGUGCUAAUACCGCAUAUUCUCUGUGGAGGAAAGUAGGGGAUCGAAAGACCUUAUGCUUAUGGAGCGGCCGAUGCCUGAUUAGCUUGUUGGUGGGGUAAUGGCCUACCAAGGCGACGAUCAGUAGUUGGUCUGAGAGGACGACCAGCCACACUGGGACUGAGACACGGCCCAGACUCCUACGGGAGGCAGCAGUGGGGAAUUUUGGACAAUGGGCGAAAGCCUGAUCCAGCAAUGCCGCGUGAGUGAAGAAGGCCUGG
rnacentral:rRNA from 1 species